rnacentral:tRNA from 1 species
UUAAUAGAAGCCAAAAAGAGGCUAUUCACUGUUAAUGAAUCAAUUGUAAGACCUAUUAAG